CCCUAAGUUCAGGGUUCUUUCAUUGUUAUACAACCCAUGGUGUGCAGGUGUCACCUGGCCCUCUUUGCUUUGCCCUGUGGGUUUUGAGGAACCAACACGAAAAAUGCUGAUACACAGUGAGGAAUAAGUUCUCAUGAGGCCAGAAGUCCUGUGUCUUUUGAAGAUAUCCAAGAGACUGGCUGGCUACCUUGUCAGUUUGCAGAUAGGGCUUUCUCAGACCCUUCACAGUUCUUGAUAAUGUUUCCCUUUGUAAUUAGUAAGUAAUCUAUGGGUGAUACAUUGGCACUGUGUGAAUAUCUUGUUUCUCUACAACACUUUACCUAAUGGUUUUAGAUUCCAUAUAUAAUCUUUGCCUGAAUCAACAAGUUUAUUGGAGGUAGCAAAAUGGUGAUUUUCUGUUUCUAUUAUUCUUUCCACAUUUAUUAACUGCAUUCUUCCGUAGAGCUUCCCCUCAUCCACUGGCGAUGAACUACAGUUCCUUACAAAAAGGGUACAUCCUAAAUCCAAUGGUAAAAGUCCUUGUAAUGAACAGAAAAGGAGAAGACAUGGAGAGACAUAGUAGUAGGAAGGCCAUGUGAAGAUGAAGGCAGAGAUUGGAGCUAAGCAUCUACAAGCCAAGGAACUCCAAGAAUUGCCGGCAGCCACCAUCUAG
rnacentral:lncRNA from 1 species